rnacentral:rRNA from 1 species
UACGUAGGGGGCAAGCGUUGUCCGGAAUCAUUGGGCGUAAAGCGCGUGUAGGCGGCUUGGUAAGUCUGCUCUGAAAGCCCGGGGCUCAACCCCGGGAGGCGGGUGGAUACUGUCAAGCUCGAGACCGGGAGAGGUGAGUGGAAUUCCCAGUGUAGCGGUGAAAUGCGUAGAUAUUGGGAGGAACACCAGUGGCGAAGGCGGCUCACUGGACCGGUACUGACGCUGAAGCGCGAAAGCGUGGGGAGCAAACGGG